rnacentral:rRNA from 1 species
ACGAACGCUGGCGGCGUGCCUUAACACAUGCAAGUCGAGCGACAGAAAUUCUCUUCGGGGGAUGUAUGGAGCGGCGAACGGGUGAGUAACACGUAAGUAAUCUACCCAGUCUUGGAGAUAACCCUCGAGAAAUCGAGGGCUAAUACGGAUAUCCACCGUGUGCGCAUCGUGUGUGGUGAGAAAGAUGUCUUUUGCUAUCGCUGAUUGAGGAGCUCGCGGCACUAUUAGCUUGUUGGUGGGGUGAAUGGCCUACCAAGGCGAUGACGGGUAGCCGGCCUGAGAGGGCUGUACCGGUCCACACUGGGAACUGAGACACGGUCCAGACUCCUACGGGAGGCAGCAGUGAGGGAAUAUUGCACAAUGGGCGGAAAGCCUGAUGCAGCGACGCCGCGUGAGGAUGACGGCUUUCGGGAUUGUAAACCUCCUGUUCGACAGGGACGAAAGUCUGCUAUGGCAGAUAUGACGGUACCAUGGAGAAGAAGCGCCGGCCAACUACGUGCCAGCAGCCGCGGUAAGACGUAGGGCUGCGAGCGUUGUCCGGGAUUAUUGGGCGUAAAGAGCUCGUAGGCGGCUCGUUGAGUCAGGCUGUGAAAUACCCGCAGCUCAACUGUGGGCCAUGCAGCUAGAUACGGGCUGGCUAGGGAUUCGGUAGGGAGAAGUGGAAUUCCUGGUAGUAGCGGUGAAAAUGCGUAGAUAUCGAGAGGAACACCGAUGGCGAAGGCAGGUCUCUGGUCCGAUACCUGACGCUUGAGGAGCGAAAGCGUGGGGAGCGAACAGGAUUAGAUACCCUGGUAGUCCACGCCGUAAACGAUGAUCACUAGACGUUAGUUCUGUUUACAGAAUUAGUGUCGUAGCUAACGCGUUAAGUGAUUCGCCUGGGGACUACGGUCGCAAGACUAAAACUCAAAGGAAUUGACGGGGGCCCGCACAAGCGGUGGAAGCAUGUGGAUUAAUUCGAUGCACUACGCGAGGAACCUUACCUAGGCUUGACAUGUUGCUGACAGUGCUAGAAACACGAUCUUCUUUGCGAAGCAAGACAUUCACAGGUGGCUGCAUGGCUGUCGUCAGCUCGUGUCGUGAGAUGUUUGGUUAAGUCCUCUAACGAGCGCAACCUCUUGCCGUCAGUUGCUAUUCUUCGGAAGCGACUCUGAUGGAGACUGCCUGGGUAAACUCAGGAGGAAGGUGGGGAAUGACGUCAAGUCCUCAUGGCCCUUAUGUCUAGGGCUAACACACGUGCUACAAUGGUCGGUACAAAGGGCUGCCGAUACCCGUAAGGUGGAGCUAAUCCCAAAAAGCCGAUCUAAGUUCGGAUUGAGGUCUGCAACCCGACCUCAUGAAGUCUGAAAUCGCUAGUAAUCGCAGCAUCAGAACGGCUGCGGUGAAUACGUUCUCGGGCCUUGUACACACCGCCCGUCACAGUCACGAAAGUUGUUGUACCCCGAAAGUUGCCUUAGCUAACCCUUGAAGGGAGGCGGGUACUAAGGUGAUGAGCAGUGAUUGGGACU